GUUGUGAGGUUAAGCGACUAAGCGUACACGGUGGAUGCCCUGGCAGUCAGAGGCGAUGAAGGACGUGCUAAUCUGCGAUAAGCGUCGGUGAGGUGAUAUGAACCGUUAUAACCGGCGAUUUCCGAAUGGGGAAACCCAGUGUGUUUCGACACACUAUCAUUAACUGAAUCCAUAGGUUAAUGAGGCGAACCGGGGGAACUGAAACAUCUAAGUACCCCGAGGAAAAGAAAUCAACCGAGAUUCCCCCAGUAGCGGCGAGCGAACGGGGAGCAGCCCAGAGCCUGAAUCAGUGUGUGUGUUAGUGGAAGCGUCUGGAAAGGCGCGCGAUACAGGGUGACAGCCCCGUACACAAAAAUGCACAUGCUGUGAGCUCGAUGAGUAGGGCGGGACACGUGGUAUCCUGUCUGAAUAUGGGGGGACCAUCCUCCAAGGCUAAAUACUCCUGACUGACCGAUAGUGAACCAGUACCGUGAGGGAAAGGCGAAAAGAACCCCGGCGAGGGGAGUGAAAAAGAACCUGAAACCAUACGCUUACAACCUGUCGGAGCGGCUUCGUGCCGUGACGGCGUGCCUAUUGAAUAAUGAGCCUACGAGUUACUAAUCACUGGCAAGGUUAAGUGCACGGAUGCACGGAGCCGAAGCGAAAGCGAGUCUGAAUAGGGCGUUUAGUCAGUGGUUGUAGACGCGAAACCUUGCGAUCUACCCUUGAGCAGGUUGAAGGUUGGGUAAAACCAACUGGAGGACCGAACGAAUAAGCGUUGAAAAGCUUCUCGAUGACUUGAGGGUAGGGGUGAAAGGCUAAUCAAGCUGGGAAAUAGCUCGUACUCCCCGAAAUGCCUUUAGGGGCAGCGUUGUAAUUAAGAGUCUACUGGAGGUAGAGCUACUGAUUGGAUGCGGGGGCUUCACCGCCUACCAAAUCCUGACAAACUCCGAAUGCCAGUAGUAUGAUUUACAGCAGUGAGCGACCGGGUGCUAAUGUCCGGUUACGAGAGUGGAACAACACAGACCAGCAACUAAGGUCCCCAAGAGUAUACUAAGUUGAUCUAACGAUGUUUUGCUGCAGAGACAGCUAGGAUGUUAGCUUGGAAGCAGCUAUUCAUUCAAAGAGUGCGUAACAGCUCACUAGUCGAGCGGCAAAGCGUGGAUAAUAAACGGGCAUCAAGUAUACCACCGAAGUUCUGGGCACGAAAGUGCGGUAGGGGAGCAUUCCAUUCCGCGUUGAAGCCGAACCGUGAGGUUUGGUGGAGUGUAUGGAAAAGCAAAUGUAGGCAUGAGUAACGAUAAUGCGGGAGAGUAACCCGCACACCGCAAGACCAAGGUUUCCUGAU
rnacentral:rRNA from 1 species